CUUUGCCAGCAACGGCCUAGACUGCACAACUGCGGGGCGGGGCGAAGCGGGAAGAGGUGGGGCGGGGCGUUCUGCUGUAGCGUUUCCGGCCCGGCCCAGAUCGGGAGCUCGCCUCCUGGCACCACCAUGACGUCAUGUCUCGUACCUGUACCGGGAGCCUGGCUUCGGGAUCUUCACGCCGCCGCUCACCAACUGCAUCCCGGGCAGUCAUUCCCAGACCUUGGUUUCAGUACUGCUGAAAUAUGAGCAGCUUCGUAGUGUGCUUCAGAGACUUGUGGUGAGAUGUGAUUGCUGAAAAUAUGUUUUUUAAUGAAAGGUUCAUGCUACGUAUUCCAUUUCUUUUAUGGAUGACGAUCUAGCCAAGAUACCUUGAAAUAAGAGCCUCGAAGGCGAAUUUUGCUUCCGCCUAUAUGAAAUACUUUAUAUGUAACUAGAAAAGUUAAGUGAGACCUGAAGAAGAGCGAAGGGCAGUAACAAGCUUCUAUUUUACAAUAACAAAUGUAAGGAAUAAUUUAUUAUCUGUUUAGGUGUAUGUAUGUUUGUAAGAGGGAACCUUUCAGACUUUUACAGUUUUUCCCAGUGUUCAACCAAAUUAAAAAGUUAUGAUUGCAAUCAUUAUUGCAUUACUCUAGUUGGAGCAUUUCCAGGAGCUGAGGCUAUUACCACUCUUGUGUCUUGAACCCCACCAGCCUUCAGACCUUCUUCCUUAGAGUGCCAGAAUGGUCUAAAUGGUGUGAGUUCCAAACACAGUUGUGAAGACAAUACUCUCUCAGGCCUGAGGCCCUUGAAGGAUUUCAUCCGACUGUCAAGGCACACUUCCAGAAGAGACUCAUCAUCCCACACACCAGUCCCUGUAGCCCACCGGUCUUUCCCACAGGUAAGUAUCAUUCCUGAGGUUGGUAUUUUGUUCAAUAUCUCUAAGCCAUAAAUAGUAUAGUCAUACCACAUCACCCCAUAGCCCCCAACCUCACAGCAUCCUCAAUUUAACCCCUCUGAGCACAAGGUUCUUUACAGUUACAGAUUUAUGUAGUAUUUUCUUCAGCCUUCCUGUCCAUCCAGAUAGCCAGUACCUGUUUGCCUUUACUUGGGAAGGACAUCAGUAUACUUGGAUUAUUAUGCCUCAGGUCUACACAGAAAGCCCUACUUACUUUUCACAGAGAGUGAGAGGAGACUUGGCCAGUGUGAAUUUUGCCUACAGCUCUACUUUUCUUCAAUAUGUUGAUGACCUUUUGUUAUGCUCUGCUUCUAAGGAAGCAUGCUUCAAGGACAGCCUAUUCCUUCUAACUCAGCUAGCUCACAAAGGCAGAAGUCUCAAGGAGAAAGUUCCAGUUUGUUCAAAUCCAGGUAAGUUACUUGAGUCAUGCAUCAAGGGCACAUCUCAGUUUCCCACUUCCACCCACCAAGUGCCAUUUGAGUUGCUUUUUUGGACUAACAGGCUAUUGCAGAGUUGGGUUCCUAAUUUACUCAUGUAUGCACAAACCUUUUUCCCUGCUAAAAGGCAGAGGCCCAAUCCUCGUUUGAAAUAAUGAGGCUGAAUCAGCUUUUCAAACUUCAAAUGUUCAGUUGGCCACAGCCCCUGCUGUAGGGCACCCUAACUAUUUUCUUCCCUUUCUGCUAUUUGUUCAUGAAAUUAUUAAUAACAGGAAACACCCUUGGAGAGCUCAUUCAGUCCCAUGGGGGAAAACAGAGAUCUAUUGGCUUUUAGGGCCAACAGUUGAAGCCUGUAGGUCAAGAUCUUUCACCUUGCCUCCAAGCAAUAGCAGCCAGCACUGCCAUUCUGCAGGUUAUAGAAUAGACAGUUUUGGGGUCUCCCUUAUGGACUUUUGUCCCUUAACUGGUUGAGGCACUCCACACACACUCUUAUCUACUCACUGACUGACAUCCUGUGAAAUCUUGUUUUUCUCUCCAAAUGUCUUUUUGUCUUAUGGUAAUGCCCUAAAUCCUGCUACCCACUUAACAUCAGCAACAGAUAAGACCUCACAUGACUGCAUAACCACAGUUGAUAUUUUGAGUAGUCUGCAUCCAGAUUACAAGAAACACCUUUAGACAAGCUUGACACCUCUUGCUGUAUCUAUGAAAUAGUGCUGGACAACAAAUCUGGAUAUGCUGUCACCACUGCCUUCACUAUAAUAGAAUCCAAUGCUCUGCCCCUCGUUUGUUCAGCCCAACAAGUUGAACCACACACACUAACUUGCACCUGCACUUUAGCCUCUGGCAAAUGUGCUAACAUUUCCACCAAUAGCAGUUAUGUUUUGGGAGUAUCUCGUGACUUUGAAAUGCUUUGGAAACAGAGAGGUUUCUUGAGCUCGUGGGGGAAGUGAAAUUGAAAAUGGCCCCUUUGUUAAGGCUUUGGUGGAUGCAAUCUUGCUGCAUGACAGUUGGCGAUGAUAAAUUGCCGGGCCUUCCAAAGACAGCACUGAAGACUGGCUGACAGAGUUGCUAAGGCCGCAGCAUUACAAGACUCAGACUUCAUAAAGAAACUUGUUAGUCACUGUUCACACCAAGUUAACUGUGUACUACUUGGAAGGACACCCAAGAUUUAAAGGAUAUUAUCAGAAACGGGAAAGUACAUGCUACAGUUAGGAAAGAAUAGUGAUGGGCUUCUGAAGGAUGCCCGUUUGACCAACAUCCUUGGCUUUGGUAUGGGCCAACCUGCUCUUUCUGCAGUCGCUCAAGAAGGCAACCAUCCUGCUCUUUCUGCAGUCGCUCAAGAAGCCAUCUUAAAGUUAAUACAGGAAAUAACUCGUUAAAGAAUUGAUAAAAUGAUAGCUUGAGGGAAACAAUACUUUUAGAGACCUCCCAUAGUAGCAGCUCAAAUAUGUCAACGGUAUCAGAUCUGUCUGAGGUAUAACCCACCAAAAUCUAUUCAUAUUCUCAAGGCCACUUUCCUUUACCUGCUGGUUCCUCUACUAUCCAGCAACUGAAUUUUAGCCAGCUGCCUCCCUCUCAAGGAUCCAAAUAUGUUCUUGUGAUGCUUUGUACGUAUUGUCAUUGAAUGGAAGCCUUCCCUUGCAGACGAGCAGCAGUGGCCAAAACAUUACUGUAGGGAUUAUUCUCACGUGGGGACUUCUCUUGGAAUUAUAUGAUAAAAGUACCAUUGCACUAGACAAAUUCCAAAUGUUGCUUGUGAAGUCUGGCCUACAACGUUUCUGCUGUACCGAUCAGCCUCAAUCGUCUGGUCAAAUGGAAAGAACUAAUGUGCGUGCGUGUGUGCUUGGUCGCUAUGUCAUGUCCAACUCUUUGUGACCCCGUGGACUGUAGCCUGCCAGACCCCUCUGUCCAUGGAAUUUUCCAGGCAAGAAUACUGGAACGGGUUGCCAUUUCCUCCCCCAGGGGAUCUUCCUGACCCAGGGAUCAAACUCACAUCUCUUGUGUCUUUUGCAUAGGCAGGCGGAGUCUUUUACCACUGUGCCACCAGGAAGCCAAAAGAACUAAUUGCAUAAUAAAAACAUAUGGAAUAUUACUCAGCCAUUAAAAAGGGACACAUUUGAGUCAGUUCUAAUGAGGUGGAUAAACAUAAAGCCUAUUAUACGGAGUAAAGUAAGUCAGAAAGAGAAAAACAAAUACCACAUAUUAAAGCAUAUAUAUGGAAUCUAGAAAGAUGGUCCUGAUGAACCUGUGUGCGGGGUAGCAUUGGAGAUGCAGCCAGAGAGAACAGACUUGUGGACACAGUUAGGGAAGGAGAGGGAGGGAUAAACUGAAAUAGUUACAUUGAAACACACACAUUACCAUAUGUAAAAUGGAUAACCAGUGGAAAUUGGCUAUAUGACACAAGAAGCUCAAACCCAGUGCUC